rnacentral:lncRNA from 1 species
AUUCAACCCCAACUUUGCUUUCAGGAACCAAGUAACCCAGAGCUGCUGGCAGCUACAGGUGGCACAAAACAAGUGGCCCGAAAAAGGAAAGAACGACCGAGGGACACUGAUUUGGUUGGGCUUCACAGAAAACAGAAGAAGAUGUAUCCUGCACGGUAAGCAACAUACAACAUUAAUGUUAGCGCUACAAAUUUCAUCUUUUGAAGGCUGUUGAUCGAAAGGGUGCAAAGAGGAUACAGGCUAGACUGAGUCAGCGUUGGCCCAGAGCUGGUAUGAGCUAUGAGCUAGGGGUUGACAGUGGAAAAUGGGACUGGAAAAUGGAAAAUUUUAAACAGGCAUUUUUCCACAGUCAAGAACUGCAUCAGGCUGGAGGAGUAGGGCUUAAAAUAAAAUAAUAAAAUAAAAUAAAAAGAAUAGAAAACAAAAAACAAACAAACAAAGCAAAAACACACACAAAAAAAGGGCCGUGGGAUAUGCUAGGUAUACAAAUGACAUGAGAGAGAGGGAUCAAGAGAGAAGAAAAUGGGUUUCAGAGCUAUCCCAGGGACAGAAGGAAAUCGGGAGACGUCCUGCUUCCUCUCUGGCCCCUACAGGAGACAUCCUUAGUUCCGGUUACAUCAGGUUCUCUACCCUCUCUGUAGUAUCUGUCUUUUGUGCACCAACUGGUCUACAUGUCAAUUCAUGUCUGUUUUUGUUUUGUUGUCUGAAUGGCUGUUGUUCUAUGUUUUAUAUUGAAAAGAAAAAUUGGUUAAAACUUUAUCUGCUGGUUAUCCAUCUCUUGAUUCAGUCUCAGUUGCCCCACACCCUUAGCCAGGAGUCAAGCACAGCAGGAGAGGCCCUGCUGAAAAGCUGCUUUUAAGAGGAGUCAGCAGCUUCUUAGUUCUAAGGCAAAUUAGUUGAUCCUUGUCUUUUUCUAGAAAAAUCUCUGCAAUUGUGAUUACUGGUUUCAGCAAAUGACAAAGUACUUUUUCGCUUGAAAUUAUACCUAGUAAAUAAAAAUUAUUUGUCUGGUCUAAAUUUAUAAGAUCUGUGAAACAGCUUCAUUUGGUUUCUGGCUGGUCUUAAAGGUAUAAAUAUGCUCUGCAUGUCUUGGUCAUAGAGUAUUGGUUUGUAAGUUAUCAGGUAUGAUUUGGUAGCAGAAAGUUAGCUUAAAACUGGUAAUUCAGGGUCAGAGUCAUUUUAAACAACAAUAAGUGGCAUGAACCAGCCCAGGAAACCAGGCCUCUAAAGAUACUUCUAUGUUGGGAUAAUAUUUUAUGUAGUUCUUAUCCUAGAAACUAGACUUAUAAGGGACAAGAUUUAAAACAGUGUCUCUUUAAUGAAGCAUUAAAAGUUGCAGUGUCAUGCAUUCAUAUGUAAGAACUGGCAGUCAAACUUUGUAAUGUGAAAGUGAUGCUUCUGGUAUUGCCUUUAAAGAGAAUAGAUUGUUUAAAAUUGGGUUUUGCUUUCUAAAAGUUAUGGUUAUUCUCUAAUAUUGCAAAAGAAACUUAAAAAAAUAUGGUUAAAAUUGCCAGUGUUCCAUUGACUGGAGUUUGCAGUUUGAUCACAAGCUUAGGAUUUUAAACUCACCCAUAUAUUGUAAUUAAGAUGAUUACAAGAGUAAUCAUCUUAUGAGAGUGCUAAUGCAGCUCCCUGCAGCCUUCCGGCCAUACAAAGCAAAGACAGGCUUAUCUGGAUAUAUUCAUCUUUGUGCAGAAAUUGGACCCUCAUACAAUCAGAGUCUAGCUAUGGCUGCUGCCUUGCAGGGGACUCCAGUACAUACAAGCAAUGCUUUCACAGCGCUGAGGUGAUAAGGAAUGUUUUAAGUAUAAAUCAUCUUAGGAAAGACUGUCCAAAAAUUAGAGGCAUAGACAGACAGUAGAAUCUUUUUUUUUUUUUUUGUCUUGCAAACCCUGCCUAUGGAAUUUUGGGGGAGCCUUGCCUCUCCUUGCUUCCAGGAAAUUAUUUUUAAGCCAAAAUAACAUUAUUAAAUAUCUAUCCAGGUGUUCAAAAUAAAGCUUAAACUUAAGUUUUAUGAAAGGUCAAUGAGGCUGUGGAACUUCUAAGGGUAUUUAUUGCAUUCUGGCCUGCCCACUCCAUAUAGAAUUAUUAUGGAUAUGGAAGGUUGUUUUUUCCUUUGCAUUCUGAUCAUUGUAAAGGGUUUGCUUCUAGUGAGCUUGUGAUCUGUGGAGAGCCGCAAUAACAUUUACCAUCAUAAGAUGGCGCUGGCUCCGCAGUGCCUUAUGCCACCUAAACAAAGAGCAAGCUAUGUGCGCAUGUACUAGGAGCAAAAGCCCGCCAAAGUCACUAGCCCAUUUCCCUGGGCACUAGCCCAUCCCCUGGGGCACUAGCCAAUCCCUGGGGUGUAUGAGAUCGUGGGUGAAGCUACCAGUCGUAUUUAGACACGUCACACCAGCGGGUAUUUAAGCCAACACGUUUCUGAGCCCUCUUUGUCUUUUCUCAUCAACAUGUAAUAAAAGAUUAGCUAUGGAAGGAUCUUGUGUCCCGUGUGCAUGUUUUUCGCGGGCGAUCAUUGGAAAGUUUUGCCUCUAGGAAUGGCUAAUAGCCUUACAUUAUG